CCUACGGGAGGCAGCAGUGAGGAAUAUUGGUCAAUGGCCGAGAGGCUGAACCAGCCAAGUCGCGUGAGGGAAGACGGCCCUACGGGUUGUAAACCUCUUUUGUCGGGGAGCAAAGCGAGUCACGUGUGACUCAUUGAGAGUACCCGAAGAAAAAGCAUCGGCUAACUCCGUGCCAGCAGCCGCGGUAAUACGGGGGAUGCGAGCGUUAGCCGGAUUUAUUGGGUUAAAGGGGUGCGCAGGGGGAGAUGCAAGUCAGCGGUAAAAUUGCGGGGCUCAACGCCGUACUGCCGUUGAAACUGCAUCCCUUGAGUGCGCGAGAAGUAUGCGGAAUGCGUGGUGUAGCGGUGGAAUGCAUAGAUAUCACGCAGAACUCCGAUUGCGAAGGCAGCAUACCGGCGCGCAACUGACGCUCAUGCACGAAAGCGUGGGUAUCGAACAGGAUUAGAUACCCGUGUAGUC
rnacentral:rRNA from 1 species